rnacentral:rRNA from 1 species
GACGAACGCUGGCGGCGUGCCUAAUACAUGCAAGUCGAACGCAGUGGGGACGGGUGCGUAACACGUGGGUAACCUCCCAUCAGAGGGGAUAACACUUGGAAACAGGUGCUAACCCGAUAUUGAGGGAUGGACCCGCGGUGCCUUAGCUAGUUGGUGAGGUAACGGCUCACCAAGGCCACGAUGCAUAGCGGGCCUGAGAGGAUGACCGGCCACACUGGGACUGAGACACGGCCCAGACUCCUACGGGAGGCAGCAGUGGGGAAUCUUCGGCAAUGGACGAAAGUCUGACCGAGCAACGCCGCGUGUGUGAAGAAGGUUUUCGGAUCGUAAAGCUCUGUUGUUGGAGAAGCGGUAUCUAACCAGAAAGCCACGGCUAACUACGUGCCAGCAGCCGCGGUAAUAC